rnacentral:rRNA from 1 species
UACAGAGGGUGCAAGCGUUGUUCGGAAUUAUUGGGCGUAAAGAGCUCGUAGGCGGUUCGUCACGUCGGCUGUGAAAUCCCGAGGCUCAACCUCGGGUCUGCAGUCGAUACGGGCGGACUGGAGUACUGCAGGGGAGACUGGAAUUCCUGGUGUAGCGGUGAAAUGCGCAGAUAUCAGGAGGAACACCGGUGGCGAAGGCGGGUCUCUGGGCAGUAACUGACGCUGAGGAGCGAAAGCGUGGGGAGCAAACAGG